UUUCAAUGAUGAAGUAUUCCGGAUGUAAACACAGACCUGUUCCGAGAGCGCAAAACUAUGUGGAUAUUUCCGUUGCCUUCCUUCUGAUAUUUGAC
rnacentral:snoRNA from 1 species